AGACAGCUCUCUUCUCUCCUUCCUGGGCUUGGAUGAGGGAUUGCCUCAGAUGUCUGAGACCACAUGAGACUGUGCCCUAGCAUUCCAGAACCUGUGACAGUUCUGUUCUGUACAGGGAGAGCACAAACACAGUCCCCCAUUACCACUAAUUAUGCAGUCGAGUUUCCUGCAUUGGGGGAAAUCACAGGGGUCAGCACAUCUGGAGUGCAAUGGAUAAGCCUCGCCCUGGGAGAACCACCUUUGUGAUCAUGGUAUCUUCCCUGCCAGGAGUAUGAAAUGGAAUUUGAAGAGAGUUCAUAAUGAUUCUGAAAUAGCUGCGGAUAUAAUACACCUGAAAUUUGCUCAAGGGAGGAGCUGGUACUGUAUUUGGGAAGUAUCAGAUGAUGCUGUUCUAACUGGGGAUGGAAGCCUGGGUGCUUGCUGUCCUCUGUA